UUAAGUGAAUAAGGGCGCACGGUGGAUGCCUUGGCACUAGGAGCCGAUGAAGGACGGGACUAACACCGAUAUGCUUUGGGGAGCUGUAAGUAAGCUAUGAUCCAGAGAUUUCCGAAUGGGGGAACCCAAUAUCUUUUAUAGGAUAUUACUUUUCAGUGAAUACAUAGCUGAUUAGAGGUAGACGCAGAGAACUGAAACAUCUUAGUACCUGCAGGAAGAGAAAGAAAAUUCGAUUCCCUGAGUAGCGGCGAGCGAAACGGGAAGAGCCCAAACCAACAAGCUUGCUUGUUGGGGUUGUAGGACUCCAAUAUGGUAGUCUGUUAGUAUAGUUGAAGGAUUUGGAAAAUUCCGCUAAAGAGGGUGAAAGCCCCGUAGACGAAAUGCUAACAACACCUAGGAGGAUCCUGAGUACGGCGGAACACGAGAAAUUCCGUCGGAAUCCGCGGGGACCAUCCCGCAAGGCUAAAUACUCCCUAGUGACCGAUAGUGAACCAGUACCGUGAGGGAAAGGUGAAAAGCACCCCGGAAGGGGAGUGAAAUAGAUCCUGAAACCGUGUGCCUACAACAAGUCAAAGCUCGUUAAUGAGUGAUGGCGUGCCUUUUGUAGAAUGAACCGGCGAGUUACGAUUGCAUGCGAGGUUAAGUCGAAGAGACGGAGCCGCAGCGAAAGCGAGUCUGAAUAGGGCGAAUGAGUAUGUAGUCGUAGACCCGAAACCAUGUGAUCUACCCAUGUCCAGGUUGAAGGUGCGGUAAAACGCACUGGAGGACCGAACCCACGUACGUUGAAAAGUGCGGGGAUGAGGUGUGGGUAGCGGAGAAAUUCCAAACGAACUUGGAGAUAGCUGGUUCUCUCCGAAAUAGCUUUAGGGCUAGCCUCGGAAUUGAGAAUGAUGGAGGUAGAGCACUGUUUGGACUAGGGGCCCAUCUCGGGUUACCGAAUUCAGAUAAACUCCGAAUGCCAUUCAUUUAUAUCCGGGAGUCAGACUGCGAGUGAUAAGAUCCGUAGUCGAAAGGGAAACAGCCCAGACCACCAGCUAAGGUCCCAAAAUAUAUGUUAAGUGGAAAAGGAUGUGGGGUUGCACAGACAACUAGGAUGUUGGCUUAGAAGCAGCCACCAUUUAAAGAGUGCGUAAUAGCUCACUAGUCGAGUGACCCUGCGCCGAAAAUGUACCGGGGCUAAACAUAUUACCGAAGCUGUGGACUACACCAUUAGGUGUAGUGGUAGGAGAGCGUUCUAAGGGCGUUGAAGGUCGAUCGUGAGGACGGCUGGAGCGCUUAGAAGUGAGAAUGCCGGUAUGAGUAGCGAAAGACAGGUGAGAAUCCUGUCCACCGUAUGACUAAGGUUUCCUGGGGAAGGCUCGUCCGCCCAGGGUUAGUCGGGACCUAAGCCGAGGCCGAUAGGCGUAGGCGAUGGACAACAGGUUGAUAUUCCUGUACCAGUUGUUUUUGUUUGAGCAAUGGAGGGACGCAGUAGGCUAAGGAAUGCAUGCGAUUGGAAGUGCAUGUCCAAGCAAUGAGUCUUGAGUAGAGUUAAAUGCUUUACUCUUUAAGGACAAGUUGUGACGGGGAGCGAAAUAAUAGUAGCGAAGUUCCUGAUGUCACACUGCCAAGAAAAGCUUCUAGUGAGAAAACAACUGCCCGUACCGUAAACCGACACAGGUAGUCGAGGAGAGUAUCCUAAGGUGAGCGAGCGAACUCUCGUUAAGGAACUCGGCAAAAUGACCCCGUAACUUCGGGAGAAGGGGUGCUGACUUCGGUCAGCCGCAGUGAAUAGGCCCAAGCGACUGUUUAUCAAAAACACAGGUCUCUGCAAAAUCGUAAGAUGAAGUAUAGGGGCUGACGCCUGCCCGGUGCUGGAAGGUUAAGAGGAUGGGUUAGCUUCGGCGAAGCUCAGAAUUGAAGCCCCAGUAAACGGCGGCCGUAACUAUAACGGUCCUAAGGUAGCGAAAUUCCUUGUCGGGUAAGUUCCG
rnacentral:rRNA from 1 species